UUGGAGGGCAAGUCUGGUGCCAGCAGCCGCGGUAAUUCCAGCUCCAAUAGCGUAUAUUAAAGUUGCUGCAGUUAAAAAGCUCGUAGUUGAAUUUCGGGGUCAGUAGGUUGGUCGUGCCACUGGUACGUACUGGUCUCACUGAUUCCUCCUUCCUGAUGAACCGUAAUGCCAUUAAUUUGGUGUUGCGGGGAAACUGGACUGUUACUUUGAAAAAAUUAGAGUGUUUAAAGCAGGCUAACGCUUGAAUACAUUAGCAUGGAAUAAUGAAAUAGGACGUUCGAUCCUAUUUUGUUGGUUUCUAGGAUUGACGUAAUGAUUAAUAGGGAUAGUUGGGGGCAUUAGUAUUCAAUUGUCAGAGGUGAAAUUCUUGGAUUUAUUGAAGACUAACUACUGCGAAAGCAUUUGCCAAGGAUGUUUUCAUUAAUCAAGAACGAAAGUUAGGGGAUCGAAGACGAUCAGAUACCGUCGUAGUCUUAACCAUAAACUAUGCCGACUAGGGAUCGGAUGAUGUUAAUUUUUUAAUGACUCAUUCGGCACCUUACGGGAAAC
rnacentral:rRNA from 1 species